rnacentral:rRNA from 1 species
UACGUAGGGUGCAAGCGUUGUCCGGAAUUAUUGGGCGUAAAGAGCUCGUAGGUGGCCUGUCGCGUCGGCUGUGAAAACUCGGGGCUCAACUCCGAGCUUGCAGUCGAUACGGGCAGGCUAGAGUUCGGCAGGGGGAGACUGGAAUUCCUGGUGUAGCGGUGAAAUGCGCAGAUAUCAGGAGGAACACCGGUGGCGAAGGCGGGUCUCUGGGCCGAUACUGACACUGAGGAGCGAAAGCGUGGGGGAGCGAACAGG